rnacentral:lncRNA from 11 species
UAAGGAAAAGUCUAUUAAACAUCAAAUUAGGUUAUGAUUUUACAAAUUACAAAAAUGCAUUGGAUAAUCCAGAACGUUGGAUAAGCGAGUGUUGGAUAAAUGAGACUCUACUGUAUUUCCAACACACACACACACACACACACAGUUUCCAAAGUAUGCACCAGACAUAUAUGUUUGUGUGUUUCUAUGUGUACAUAUAUGUUUGGGUAUAUAUACAGAGAGUCCGGCCUACAGCUAUCCAAAGGAAGCUGUACAUAUAUGUAUGUAUUUAUAUAUGUGUGUGUGUGUGUGUGUAAGUCAGAGAAGUCUGGCCUAAAGACAUCCAACAUCUUCCAAAGGAAGCAUAGACCUAUACAUAUGUAUAUGUAUGGGUGUGUAUAUAGUCUUGUGCUUCCUUUGGAAGCUGUUUUGUGUGUGUGUGUGGCUUUAAGCCAGACUCCUUACAUAUACAUACACAGAGGUGCACACAGAUACACGCAUGAUCCAUGUAUGUCUGUGUUUUGUUUGGACAGUGUUGCGUAGCUGUAGGCCAGACUCUGUGUAUUUAAUACAUACAUCCACGUACACACUGCAUGCACAUCGGUUCCCCAGAGUGGCAGCGCCACUCUCCCUCUUGCCUCCCUCCUGGGCCAGGAGGCCUUCCUCGCGGGCGCCAAACCCGCCUCCUUCCUCGGGGGUUUCUCCUCCCCAAGAGGAAGGGGGCGCCCAGGGCCAGGACUCGGCCUUCUUCCCGGCGACCCCGAGCAGGCCUCAGCUGAGGCCGCCGCCCGUCCUCCUCUUCCUCCACCAUGGCUGUCAGGGCAGCAGCAGCAGCAGCUCCCCGGCCGAGAGAGAGAGAGCGAGAGAGCGGGGCUUGCAUAGCCAGGGAGAGACCCCUUCUUCUCUCUAUGACGCCUCGCGACUGAGGUCCAAAAGAGGUCCUUAUCCAAACUGUGUGUGACCAAACAAGGCACAGUAUUCCAAGUGAAGUCUGAACAAAGCAGAAUAGAGUGGGAAUAUUCCUUUGAUCAGAACAUUAGAGUACAGCAUACACGUUUCUGCCCUUAUGUGUCAAAAGACACUCAAAGAUCGGCUGGAAAUAGCAAAACUAGCAGUCUUGUUUCUGAAAGCACCAUUACAUCCUGAAAUGGCCUGAAUAGC